GUAGUUCGUCCCGUUCCUCCGUCUAACCUGUCACUGCUCUGGGAGAAAGACAGGGCUCUUUUCCAGUGGCAGAGCGGAUAUGACGCAGACAGUUUCUUCAUACCCGACCUUCAGUACCAGCUCAGCAUUUACAGUCAACACAAGCUGUACGAGGUAGAAGCUGUUGAACAGAAGGUGUAUGUGGAUGAGUCUAGUUUUGAACCUCACACAAAUUACACAGUGCGUGUGAGAUCGCGGCCAGAUCAAGUGUAUUAUAAAGGCGUGUGGAGUUUGUGGACCCCUGCGUUACACUGGAAAUCAGGGGACAUUCACAAAGAGACUCCAGGAGGAUCUUUCCCUAUUGCCCGGUAUCUUCUGUUAGUGCCAUUGCCGCUGGUCCUUCUGUUCUGUAUCCCAUACUCCAGAUGGAGGAAGAAUGAUUAUAUACCUUCACCAGCCCCUUAUUUCAGAGACUGGGAUGUAGAUGUUCAGAUCCGUUCAACGCUGUCAGGUAAGAUGAGAGAUGUAAUGCAGGGGGAGGAGUCUUUCAAGAUUGACAUUCUGACAGAGAGCACAGACACGCCCCCUCAACCCUCCACCUUAGACUUUGAGAAUAUGGGAGAGAUCGACGAGAAUGAGUCUCGCAGCAUGCCGCAGUCUCCUGUGGGUUCAGAGGUCGACUCCGGCUGCUGGAUUCGCGAUUUUACCACAACUGAGAGAGGAAGCAUCACAUGCAGUGAGGACUACUGCACACUCUCCAAUUCACACAUUUAUGCAGUCUAACAUGUGCAUGCACACUACUGUUCAAAAGUUUGGGGUCAAUAGGAUUUUUUUUUUUUUUUUUUUUGGGAUUUUUUUUUUUUUUUUUUUUUUCAAAGAAAUGUAAAAAAAAUAUUUCAAAUAAACUUCCUAUUUACUAAAGAAUCCUGAAAAAAAAUGUA
rnacentral:lncRNA from 1 species